GAGUGAUGAAGGUUUUCGGAUCGUAAAACUCUGUUGUUAGGGAAGAACAAGUACGAGAGUAACUGCUCGUACCUUGACGGUACCUAACCAGAAAGCCACGGCUAACUACGUGCCAGCAGCCGCGGUAAUACGUAGGUGGCAAGCGUUGUCCGGAAUUAUUGGGCGUAAAGCGCGCGCAGGCGGUCCUUUAAGUCUGAUGUGAAAGCCCACGGCUCAACCGUGGAGGGUCAUUGGAAACUGGGGGACUUGAGUGCAGGAGAGAAGAGUGGAAUUCCACGUGUAGCGGUGAAAUGCGUAGAGAUGUGGAGGAACACCAGUGGCGAAGGCGACUCUUUGGCCUGUAACUGACGCUGAGGCGCGAAAGCGUGGGGAGCAAACAGGAUUAGAUACUCUGGUAGUCCACGCCGUAAACGAUGAGUGCUAAGUGUUAGAGGGUUUCCGCCCUUUAGUGCUGCAGU
rnacentral:rRNA from 1 species